rnacentral:rRNA from 1 species
GAUGAACGCUGGCGGCGUGCCUAAUACAUGCAAGUCGAGCGAACAGACGAGGAGCUUGCUCCUUCGACGUUAGCGGCGGACGGGUGAGUAACACGUAGGUAACCUACCUAUAAGACUGGGAUAACUUCGGGAAACCGGAGCUAAUACCGGAUAAUAUUUCGAACCGCAUGGUUCGAUAGUGAAAGAUGGCUUUGCUAUCACUUAUAGAUGGACCUGCGCCGUAUUAGCUAGUUGGUAAGGUAACGGCUUACCAAGGCAACGAUACGUAGCCGACCUGAGAGGGGGAUCGGCCAAACUGGAACUGAGACCCGUGCCAGACCCCUAGGGGAGGCAGGAGUAGGGAAUUUUCCGCAAUGGGGGAAAGCCUGACGGAGCACCGCCGGGUGGGUGAAGAAGGCUUUCGGAUCGUAAAACUCUUUUAUUAGGAAAGACCAAACGUUUAAGUAACGGUCCACGUCUUGACGGUACCUAAGAAGAAACCCACGGCAACCUCCGU